rnacentral:lncRNA from 1 species
AAAGUUGUAAUAUAUCUCAUAAAUUCAUGAAAUUGUUCUAUAUACAAGUAUAUGGAGUUUUCAUAUUAACUUUCAAUCUAUUUCAGCGUUGACCUUUUAUCAAAACAAUUUUUAUUAGUAAUAUAUGGUGAUGAUAAUGAAUGGGAUGCUUUUGUUUGAGCCGUUUCAAAUAGUGCUUUAUGCGCGGGCAUUCUCAGACAUUUUCAUACCAAUUUUCAUGCUAUUUCAGCAUUGACCAUGUUGACUUUUGUAUAUGUAGCUUUUAAAAAUAAGAACAUUUAAUCAACCGUUCUUAUAGACACAACAAUGUAUAUAUAUAUUUAUUAAUUGCAUGUACUAUUGAAAUAGUUUUUAAAUUUGUUUUUGUGUUUUUUUUCACUAAAAAAAUAAUUAUAUUUUAAUUAAGAUUUGCUGAUUUUUAUUUCCUGUUGUAUUGUUAC